rnacentral:rRNA from 1 species
GGAGGACGAGAGAGCGGAAAGGGGUAGGGGGAGGCGAGCGAGCGAGGCCCAGAGGGAGGGAGAAGUGUGGGUGGAGUGGAGGAGGGGGAGGGAGAAGCGCACGGGUUCUUUCCUUGGUGGUCCGUCCUUGCCGCACUCGCGUCGACCCCGACCUCGGCCUAACUGGGGCAAGCAGAGGUCUCUGCCGCCGUGCCCGCGUCCUUGAGGCCUAGCCGCGAGUUCUUGGGUCUCAGGCGCGACUACAUGUGCAACCACUAAAGAAGAUGGAUCUGUAUGAGGUCUCGUCGUCGAGUCGGCGGCACUAGACAUUAGCGGCAAGGUUUUCUCUCGUCAAAUCUUUCCAACAGCCACCGGGUUCGAGACUAGAAGUCGGACGUAGAUCGAUCGCGUCUACAGCAAGGCGUCGUAUCAAGCACUACAGUCCCUGCCAAAGCCGUCGGACAGCUCCGCCUCGAAGCUGCACUGGUAGAGGCCGGAGAGGCCGGAGUGGCCCGUGGUGUCCCCGUUCACGGUCUCGUGCCACGUGCUCGAGGCGCUGCGGCUAGAGUAUCAGGUCCUCUCGGCGACCCGAUCGGAGGGAGGCCUCGAGGAGUCGCUGCACUAGGCCUCCGACCUCCGUUCGCUCUCGUGGACCGGCAGCGCGUUCGUACACCACAGGACGCGCCGGCAAACGUUCCGGACCUCCCUCUACACGUCCCUCUAGCACUGCUCGGGCCUCAAAACACCUUUCGAGUGGAAGGGGCAGAGAGACUUCGUCGGACCGGGAGCUCUACCUUACUAAGUUACAAAAUAUUUCGCUCUAUUUAGUUUCAGAUGGAUAGUAGAGAUGAACACGGACUGAUUACGCCAUGAACACCUCUUACCGUUCAAGGAGAACAGACGAUUUUCCUAGGCGUCCUGUUGGACGUGUCUUAUACAAUAGAGUUACCUACGACUUUUGUAGAGUUCUAGUUCGUCGUGGAUAUAACCUUUUGACUCCAGUUUGAAGGAACCGUGUUUUAAGUAUCAGAUGCUGUGCGUCGGGGGGAUGUUACCCCGAUAUCAAGGAAGGUAACCUGCCUCAUCGGCCUCUAAGUUGAGGUUCUUUCACAGAGGGUUCCACGGUAGACCAUCGAUGUUGUAUCGAGUCCACAGAAUGCUCGAUUUACAAGAACCGUGCUCCCCGGGAUCCGCCUACUUGACGUAGUACGUGAGGUAUGGCCGGAGCAGCCAACUCGGGCCGCCGUAUCAGGGACCCGUCGGACUGGUCUAGUACGGGGCUCGAGAUCUCCUGAGCAAAGCGUCGUACUCGAGGAAGAGGUUCAGUAGGUAGUACCUGGCCAGGUGCCUAAAGUCGUCGAGGGCAAUAAAGUCGUCGAGGGCCAAAAACAGGCUGUAGCGGCCUCCACGCUAUUCGGCGCUGCUUCUGCCUCUCUUGUUCCUCUCCGGCGACCACGAGGCGUUGUUCCAGGGCUCCACCGUGCUCGUCGACGUCACGACCACGGAGUUGAAGGCACCGGCGCACUGGUAGCGGAGCCACUUCUUGAAGGUCGACUAGCGCCGCGGCUCGGUCGGGCGCGGCGGGGGGCGUCCCCGCGGCUGGGGCUGGGGCCGGGGCAGCGUCGGGCGGGGCCGCGGCCUCGUCCUGUUCUAGUAGGACGUCAAGCCGUUCCACAGGUUCCUGUACAAGUGGUACCUGAUGGCGAUAGGCGAGAGCCGCAAGGUCCGGAAGCGUUACACGGACUCGUCGAAGCUGUGCUUCGACCGGACACUUAUUUUGGCCGCUGGCCGCCUCCAGCUGCUGCUGUGUCCGCGCCAGCUCCCUUCCUUCGUCAUCUUGGGAGUAGGGGGGUAUCCUGAAGGUAAGAUCUAGUGCCUGUGCGGGAAACAAACGAACAUUAAGACGAAACAAACAUCGAACAACCUUGACCUGAGCCAUCGUACACUACGAAGCGUGGUACUAACGAAGGAAACUUCGAUUCAAAGCACCUACGCCAACCAAGGCCUAAAUUGGAUUCCAAGGCAGUGGAAGUACUAACGGAAACUCGAAAGAGAUACCUAAGGACAACAGACCAUUUCUUGUCUUUUUCCAAGUCACGAAUACAAGAAAAUGUUGAC